GCCCAGCCCUAAACUUUGAUAGUAAAAUACAUCCACUAUCCGCCCGGGUACUACGAGCACCAGCUUAAAACCCAAAGGACUUGGCGGUGCUUUAGACCCCCCUAGAGGAGCCUGUUCUAGAACCGAUAACCCCCGUUAAACCUCACCCUCUCUUGUUCAUUCCCGCCUAUAUACCGCCGUCGUCAGCUUACCCUGUGAAGGCCCAAAAGUAAGCAGAACCAGUAUAACUCAAAACGUCAGGUCGAGGUGUAGCAUAUGAGAGGGGAAGAAAUGGGCUACAUUCUCUGCCUCAGAAUACACGGAUAAUGUCAUGAAAAAACAUUGGAAGGAGGAUUUAGCAGUAAGCAAAAAAUAGAGUGUUUUGCUGAAAUUGGCCCUGAAGCGCGC
rnacentral:rRNA from 1 species